rnacentral:lncRNA from 1 species
UCACACCUGCUUUUACUCUGUGAGUUGUACUUUUGCUUCUUCAAUAAAUCUGUGCCUUUGUUACUCCGUUCUUUUGUUGUUUUGCUUGUGCGUUUUGUUUAAUUCUUUGUUUGAAACCCCAAGAACCUGGACAACUCACAGUCAAGACCUUCCGUCCGGUAACAAAGCAACAGACCUCAGUCAUGUCAUCUGCUUACAAAGGAGCCACGAAUCAAGACCGAUUCCGUGUGCUCUUGACGAUUCUGUUACACUCCUGCAGGGUAUCGCUCUGCCUCCCAGGCUGGAGUGCAG